UCCCGGUUGGCCCGGGCAGUAUCGCGUGAAAAAUACAACACACGACAAGGGUUGCGCUCGUUGCGGGACUUAACCCAACAUCUCACGACACGAGCUGAGGACGGCCAUGCAGCACCUGUCACCUGAUUCCUUGCGGCACUCCCCUAUUUCUAGGGGAUUCCAGGGAUGUCAAGCCUCGGUAAGGUUCUUCGUGUACCAUCGAAUUAAACCACAUGAUCCACUGCUUGUGCAGGACCCCGUCAAUUCCUUUGAGUUUUAAGCUUGCGCUCGUACUCCCCAGGCGGGAUGCUUAACGCGUUAGCUUCUCAGCCCAGAGGGUCGAUACUCCAAACUGAUAGCAUCCAUCGUUUACGGCGUGGAUUAC
rnacentral:misc_RNA from 1 species